UACAGAGGAGGCAAGCGUUGUUCGGAAUCACUGGGCUUAAAGCGCGUGUAGGCGGCGCGAUAAGUGUUCUGUGAAAUCCCACGGCUCACCCGUGGAACUGCAGGGCAUACUGUCGUGCUUGAGGCAGGUAGGGGCCACUGGAACUCUCGGUGGAACGGUGAAAUGUGUAGAUAUCGAGAGGAACGCCCGAGGCGAAAGCGGGUGGCUGGGCCUGUCCUGACGCUGAGACGCGAAAGCGUGGGGAGCAAACGGG
rnacentral:rRNA from 1 species